AGUGGGUGGUAAACUCCAUCCAAGGCUAAAUACCUGCACGAGUCCGAUAGUAAACAAGUACCGUGAGGGAAAGUUGAAAAGUACUCUGAAGAGAGAGUAAAUAGUACGUGAAGCUGCCUGUCGAGAAGCUGGUGGAGUCAAGCUCCAUGUUUGGAUGAUUAACAGAGAGUGCUUUGUUGUGUUAUGGCCACUCUGACGAUUUGCCUGUAAAUGGCGAGGAGGUUUGCCUUCUCAAGGUUACUGGUCAGUGAUCUUGUAUCGUCAGUUUUGGUCGGGCGCUCCUGUUCUAUCACCAAACAGCCAUCACGGCUGAUAGUCUAUUGGCGCCUGGUAGCCAAACCAUGCCUUUGUGAGUAAUUGCUUGCGAGGUGUGGGAAGGCAGGUGGUUGCUUGGUCAGUAAUGUCCUUGUAACUUAUAUUGUAAUUCAGCCGUCUACCAGGUUACUUUGCUAUUUGGUACUAUCAGUGAAUGCUCUACGGUGUCUGUCCAAGGCAUUGUAGUGAGAGCCGUGGUGUUGGAGUAGAUUUUCCACCCGACCCGUCUUGAAACACGGACCAAGGAGUUUAACUUGUGCGCAAGUCAAUGGGCCUUAUGAAACCCAAUGGCGAAAUGAAAGUGAAUGAUCGGCUUGCUGAUCUCAGGUGUGACUCUUCUUCUCCCUUCACAGGAGCUGGGAC
rnacentral:rRNA from 1 species